rnacentral:rRNA from 1 species
ACAGAGGGUGCAAGCGUUAAUCGGAGUUACUGGGCGUAAAGGGCGCGUAGGCGGAUAUUUAAGUCGGAUGUGAAAGCCCUGGGCUCAACCUAGGAAUUGCAUUCGAUACUGGAUGUCUAGAGUAUGGUAGAGGAAAGUGGAAUUCCCGGUGUAGCGGUGAAAUGCGUAGAUAUCGGGAAGAACAUCAAGGCGAAGGCAGCUUUCUGGACCAAUACUGACGCUGAGGCGCGAAAGCGUGGGGAGCAAACAG